AAUGAACGCUGGCGGCAUGCCUAACACAUGCAAGUCGAACGAAGGCUUCGGCCUUAGUGGCGCACGGGUGCGUAACGCGUGGGAAUCUGCCCUUGGGUUCGGAAUAACAGUUAGAAAUGACUGCUAAUACCGGAUGAUGUCGUGAGACCAAAGAUUUAUCGCCCAAGGAUGAGCCCGCGUAGGAUUAGCUAGUUGGUGGGGCAAAGGCCCACCAAGGCGACGAUCCUUAGCUGGUCUGAGAGGAUGAUCAGCCACACUGGGACUGAGACACGGCCCAGACUCCUACGGGAGGCAGCAGUGGGGAAUAUUGGACAAUGGGCGAAAGCCUGAUCCAGCAAUGCCGCGUGAGUGAUGAAGGCCUUAGGGUUGUAAAGCUCUUUUACCCGGGAUGAUAAUGACAGUACCGGGAGAAUAAGCUCCGGCUAACUUCGCGCCAGCCGCCGCAGUAAAAC
rnacentral:rRNA from 1 species